AAGAACCUAGCCUCCCUGCUCCCAGUCCCAGAAGGAGAGGGAAAGGUCCACGUCCCAGUCCGUUAAGACAGCACCUGUGGGCGCAGCAGGUCUCGGCGGAAGGCGCUCGCGCUCCCCGCUCAGGCUCCUCGGCGCCGCCGCUGCGCACAGGCGGCGACGGCUCCCCGGGGGCAGAGUCCCUCCUCAGGCCUCUCAGCAGCCCGGGCGGCAGCUCCUCUCCACGGUUUCAGCGGGCGCUCCCCCCGGGGGCGGGCCUCGCCUCGGGUGUGCGCACUCCGGCCGACGGUUCGGCCCGCGCUCUGGGCUCCCGUAGCGCCGCUCGGGGACCCUCAGAAGGCCACCACGGCCCGCACGAGCACGUUCAGCAUGCUGUCCGCAGGGCGGCAGGCAGGCUUCGCCUCGCACGCCGGCGGCGCCGUCGGGGGGGCGGCGGGGCUGCAGUUCAGGAGGCCAGAGAAGCGCCUCUGUAGGACGCGCGCCAGGUUGGGGAAGGCGCCCUCCGCUUGAGCGGGAGGUGGCUGCAGGCGAUCAGGGACCUCCGAAGAGGCCCCUGCCUCCUCCUCCUCCUCUUCUAGACGGGCUUUCUUGCUUGGGACCAGUCCGACGUCCCCGCCGUCACUCAGGCUGCUGCUCCGCCGCUUGCGGCUGACUUUAGUGGGGCGCGGGGCACAGGGAGCUGGGGUCUCCGCGGCUCCCGGCGCCUCCCGCGUGUCCAUGGGCUCCGGGGAAGGCUGCUCACCGUCGGGGGGCGCUGCCUCGGCUACAGCUUCCGCUUCCCGCAACUGGUGCAGGCGAGGAUCAGGGGAGCGGACGGGCGGCAAGGGCACCUCGGGCUCGUGGGCUUCCACCUUGGCCGAGAGGUAGAGCUCUCGCGCGCUGCGCAUGACCAGCGACAGCUGCAGACUCCGGUGCAGCCGCAGGCCACCGCGCUGCAUGCGCGAAUGGUACAUCUUCCACACCGACAGGGUCAUGAUGCGUUGAGCCUCCUUCUGCACCUCCAUGGCGGCUAGACGGCGGGGGCGAGGACGGCGGGGGCUCCCUGACUGGGCAGGACAGGUAGCAGGUGCACUCCGGGCUACGCGCUCGUUCACGCUUCUC
rnacentral:lncRNA from 1 species